rnacentral:rRNA from 1 species
GUGCAAAGGUAGCAUAAUCAUUUGUCUUUUAAUUGAAGGCUAGUAUGAAAGGCAACACGAAGAGUUAACUUUCCCAAGAUCUAUAAUAAAUUAAUCUGAAAGUCAAAAAGCUUUCAUCUACACGCAGGACGAGAAGACCCCGUAGAGCUUUAUGUACACUAAACUACGCACUGAUAGAAUAAAAUCUGCAUAGUCUCACAAGACAUUUAGUUGGGGCGACUAGAAAUAAAUCAACACUUCUUAACAAAACCUUAAUUACUGUAGCACUGAUCCGUUAUACGAUUAAAAAUUAAGCUACCUUGGGGAUAACAGCGUAAUCCAAACUGAGAGUUCUUAUCAAAACUUGGGAUUGCGACCUCGAUGUU